UUAGUCUGCAGGAUAGGGACGCAACCUCCAGCAGCCUCGCGUGGCCCCAGAGUUCCGGCAAGGGUCACGCAGGCAUAAAGGCUGUUGGAUCCCCCUGGAACUGCGUUUAGAAACAGAUGUGAUCUGCGUGUGGGAGAGGAAGCCAAGCCCUGGUGCUCUGGAACCUAAAGACGAAUGUCCCUUCCACUCAGGAAUUUCUCUCUCAGACAUCAUCUGACCUGUGUGCAAAGCUGAGCAUGAGUGACUCCAUACCUCUCAGCUAG
rnacentral:lncRNA from 1 species